rnacentral:rRNA from 1 species
UACGUAGGGACCAAGCGUUGUCCGGAAUCAUUGGGCGUAAAGAGCGUGUAGGCGGCUUGUUAAGUCUUGCGUGAAAUCUCGGGGCUCAACCCCGAGCGGUCGUGAGAAACUGGCAGGCUAGAGUGCGGGAGAGGAGAGUGGAAUUCCUGGUGUAGCGGUGAAAUGCGCAGAUAUCAGGAAGAACACCAACGGCGAAGGCAGCUCGCUAGGACGGUACUGACGCUGAGACGCGAAAGCGUGGGGAGCGAACAGG